ensembl:lncRNA
CUCUUCAGCAUUUUUUGGUUACCUGAAAUUUUCCAACUAGAGAGUUGGAGCUAUAUUUAUUCACUCUGUUGCAUCUUUUUGCAGUUACACUGAUGUCCAGGGUCAUUCAGUAGGAGGAUAGAGAGAAUACAAAAAGCAACAGGAGUCUGUCCCACACAGAUGAUCACAGCUCCUCUGAUCAGAAAGCUGCAUCCAUUGUGGCAUAUGCGGAAUACUCUACUGUACCUGGAAUUGAAAAAUCCUAUCUUGUUUAAGCUACUGAAUUACUACUGGGGCCCUGGUUUCAGCAGGAGUGUUCUCUUAGUGAAGUCCUAGGCAGCUACAAGGGGAGAGACAGAGACCUCCUUCAUCUGGAGUUAAGAUUCUUCUGCUCCAACCCCUGUUUCCAACCCCUACCACUCAGCCGACUCCUAUGAAAAUGGUUUCCAAGAGGAGUCUGUUGGAAACAGACUGAGCAGUAAACAUCAGCACCAAAUAACUGCCGCCUGUCUGGGAGAGACCCAGCAAUAAGAAGAGAACCUGGAGACCAGCUUCUGCAAGUCAUGCCCACGUCUGUGCUAAAUGUCACCCGCAGCAUUGUGGGAAGCACAGGCUGCUGCUUUCAGUGAAGGCCUCCAGAGGACAGUGCCCAGACAAUCUCUGUGACCCAUUCUAGUUCAACCGUUGUCCAGUCUUUAGAAGUGGGCCUCACAAUAACCUUAAGAUACCACCUUAGCAAUUUGUGUUUAUUCCUUCUGGCUCCUACUGAUUAGAGGUAGGGAAUAGCCACUCACCAAGUUCUCCACUUAAAAUCAUGCUUUGAAAUACUUGAUAAAUGCAUCUCGUUAACCUAUACUUAUCUAGACCUAAUAAUUUAAAAAACAUUUUAUGUACUCACUUGAUUAUAAUCUUCAACUCAUGUAAUCCCUGC